ACGAUCGGGGGGGGGGGGGGGGGGGCCAGAUUACUGUAUCACGUCAAUUUACAAUGAUCUGAUUGGUGGAACCUCCACUAUGCAUUCGAGCGCACUGUGAGACGUUACAGUAAUGAUUGUGAAUACGGCCGUGAGACCAGCGCACGCCACUGCACACAAGUGUAGUUCCGAUAUGAAUAUCGAAGAAUAAGGACUCUGGACUCAUUCACACACAAUUACACGCGACAACCUUGUAUAAACAUGUAAAUAUAUUUCUAUAUGUUCUCGUAAUAGACGAUGUUCUCAAGAUUCUAUAUUUUGGUGUUUCCCAUCAGUUACGACUUACCACUACUUGUACAUAAUUUUCUUAUUCCGAGAAUUGAUAUUUUUUUAUAAUUAAAGAUUUUUAGAAUAUUUAAACUCAUUAUCACUAGGAAUCCUGCCCUAAAUCCACCUAAUAAGUAUCUUAUAUAAUAUUAUUACAUUACAUUUCAGAAGCAUGGUAAAUUUUAAACAAAUAAUAACAUUUCAUGAAGCGAUUUGCUGUAAUACGAACUGAAAUAAUGAUCAAGAUAGAAUUCCUUUUUUAUGUUUGAUACGGUGCUAAUUAUGGUGCUAAUUUUGUUAUACAAACUCUACUAAAAAUCACAGGUCUUAAAUUUCUAUUCCUUUCAAAAUGCUUCCUGCAGAAAAAGAUAGCACUAAUCUUACUUAGAACUAACCUAAAUUUAGUUGUGCACAACAGAACUACAUAAUAUAAUGGUGUCAAUGCAACAAAAUAAUAAUUCUAUAGCAUCGAAAAUUUGGUAGACCUUAUUCCCGAUACUAUAUAAAAAUUUGAACAAUAGGUAAAUGCUUAACCAUAAAAGUUCGUAUCGCGCAAAUCGUUUAGGACGAAGCUUAACAACAAUAAUAUGUAGAAAAAACUAACACACACUGUUCCAUGCUACAUAAGAGUAG